AAACGACCACAAGAGGGUAUGACUAAAAUAAAAAAACAAUCUAUUUCAGCACUUGAACUCCAUCCAUCCAUUUUCCACACAAGGGUCGCGGGCGUGCUGGAGCCCAUCCCAGGCCAUCAUCGGGCAGGAGGUGGGGUACACCCUCAACACACGCAAACAAAACAAUUUGCACUCACAUUCACACCUACGGGCAAUUGAAGAGUCUUCAAUCAACGUAGCACACGCAUGUUUUUGGAAACCGGAGAAAACCCACGAACAUGCAAACUCCACACAGGCGGGGCCGGGGAUUGAACCCAGGUCCACAGAACUGUGAGGCAAGACUGUCUUCCAGUACUGUGGCCGUUACACCUCUGAACCUGAAACACUGAAGUUUUUCAAUCGCAUGCAUAUGCUAGUAAAAGUGCAUUUGCACUGCCAGUGGAACCUUUUUUUUUUUACUAGUAAGAAACAGUUGUUCUACUGGUGCGCUAAAUUGUCUUACUAGUGCGGACACAGAGCAUACUAGUACACGACCUUUGAGCUGGACAAUAAGGAUAUCGAACAAAUGCUCAAACAGCUUUUUCUACAAGACCGUCACCCAACCAUUACAACUAUUUCACCAAGCCAUUGACUCUCUGUCCCAUGUGAACAAAUGACACCAGUGUGAAAAUAUGUGCGAUGACGAUGUGACACGACUCGUAAACAUACUGGACGCACUGUCGUGUGUGCACCUGUCAAGCCUGUUCUCAUUUUCUUGGACGAAAAUGAUCAUUAUUGACAUUGACAUUGUAUGUUAUUUUCCUGAAAAUGAUGGUUAGUUCACAAAUUGUACAAACUUUAGGAGGUUUAUGUUCAAAGGUUUUACUGUAUUGCACCAAAAUUAUAGUAGAAUAAGUCAAGUCAAAAGUGAUUUCCUUAAUGGUAUACUAUACACAAUAUCACAAUGGCUGCUCAGCGUGACCGUUUGCACUUGUCCGCUUGGCCACUCACCUCAAAUGUGAAAGUUAUUUCAGUGCUGCAUGCACAUCAUUGAGUUGAAAUGAAUUCAUUUCAGAUACACUAUUGGCACGACGUGCCGUCAGAGGCUAUUGUGACAUUUUGAAGGCUACAUUAGAAAUCAUUUUUAAGACUGCAACUUGACUACACGCCUUCUUACCCACAUUCAAUAUGGCAGGUGAGGACAUUGUAGAGCCAGAUCUUAGUUUGUUCAAAACACUGUUCUUCCUUUAACCUCUAGAAAGGGAAUGCAGUCAUUCUAACUGCUGUCAAAUAGUGGUUAGUAGUAGUAGCUAUAUCUGGAGACAUUGAACAAUUACAUCCUUACGAUACGGCAAAAGGCGAGGCGCAAAUAUAUCAUCCCCGUUACUUUUUCUGGAAUAGCGAACAUACUAGUUUGACGUUGAUGUUUGCAGCGCUUUAUAAUCGAGAAAAUAUUCCUGCAAGUUUGAAGACCAGGCAAAAAUGUCAACAGGUAGCAAGUACAGACAUCUGAAUAGUACAUAACGGACCAAGUGCAGUGUAUGGUAGAAGGAAUGGCAGAUGUAGUCCGAUUGCUUUGCCGAGACACAACAUUCGGUAAACGUUUUUUUCCCCUCCAGCCCACAGCUGACCUCUCCUUGGAAAUUUAUGUAUCGAAGCCAUGACACCAUAUUUUGAGUUGAAGCUCUCGCCCUUCAGAACUAUGACCAAAGUUGCCAAGUGCAGCUCGUAAGAGUUCUAUUUGUAGCUUGAGUCAUCUGGAGUCAUUUGGAGCAAAAUAGUGCUUCCACAUUAAAAGAUUAUGUUUGCCAAGUGA